AACUCUAAAGUGUCAUACACAUAAUAAUUUCAAUAUUAAAUAGCCUAUAGCUAGAGUUA
rnacentral:tRNA from 1 species